CUGCAGUCUGCCCCAGGGCAUGGGGCUAGAUGAUGACUGGCAGUAGCCUUAUACUGAGGUGAGGUGGGGAUAGUGGGUGGGGGUUCCCUGAGGAGAGGAGACCCUAAGACUGAGGGGUUACUGCCAGGGGGCAGCACCCCAGGUACAAGGGCACCAUGGUCCACGGAGGGACAUGGGGGCCAGAGGACAGGUGGACCACCGGCCUGCAGAGGGUGCUCCAGGAUGCUGGAAGAGCUAAUUCCCAUGGAUGACCAGCAGGAGGCGCCACAGGGGGGAAUGAAAAGGCACUUUGCAUUCUGCAAUGGAUUCCAUGCCCACAACUGACCUUGAUGCAGAGGACAGGCUGGUUACUAGAGGUGACUGAGCAACUAAACGACUUACAGGAGAUUUGCUGAUGACACAAAUAUGUGUGGAUUUCAACCAAUUCUAUGCAAUCGGCUUUCACUGUGACCAGGGGGAUCCUUCCUGGGACUUACUGCUGACAAAUGUAAUGGAUUUUUCACAGUUCUGUGGGGACUGGGGAGAAUUAGAAUAUAACUGGUUAAAAGGCCAUAUGAAAAGCUCUAAAUUCACUUGCAUUCACCACACCCGAUAAGUCCCAAGUUAGUGAAGUACCAUAUAUUGUAUCCAAUCAUUAUCUGCCUUAUGAGAGGAGACUUGAGGAACUUGGCUUGGUUAGCCUAACAAAACAAAGGCUGAGGGGAGAUAUGAUUGCUCUCUAUUAAUACAUCAGAGGGAUAGAUACCAGCGAAGGAGAGGAGUGAUUUUAAGUUAAGCACCAAUGUGGACAAGAACAAAUGGAUAUAAACUGGCCAUCAACACAUUUGGGCUUGAAAUUACACAAUGGUUUCUGACCAGCAGAGGAGUGAAGUUCUGGAACAGCCUUCCAAGGAAGCAAAAAACCUAAGUUGUUUCAAGACUGAGCUUGAUAAAUGUAUGGAGGGGAUGGUAUGAUGAGGUUGCCUACAAUGGCAUACGGCCCAUCCAUGUCCGUUAUCAGCAAAUAUCUGCAACAGCUGGAGAUGGGACACUAGAUAGGAAGGUUUCUGAGUUACUACACAGAUUUCUUUACAGGUGUCUGGCUGGUGGGUUUCACCCACUUGCUCAGGGUCUAACUGAUCGCUAUAUGGGGUCAGGAAGUAAUUUUGCCCCAGGUUAGAUCAGCAGCUACCCUGCAGAGGGGGCAUUGCCUUCCUCUGCAGCCUGAGGCGUGGGUCACUUGCGGGUUUGAAUUAGAGUAAAUGGUGGAUUCUCUGUAACUUUAAGUCUUUAAAUCAAGAUUUGAGGACUUCAGUAACUCAGCCAGACUUUAUGGACCUUUUACAGGAGUGGAUGGGUAAGGUUCUGUAGCCUGCAAUGUGCAGGAGGUCAGACUGUGAUCAUGAUGGUCCCUUCUGACCUUAAAGUCUAUGAAUCUGAGUCAAUUACAUAGAUUAAUUUACUUGUGGAAAUGCAUAGUUUCCUUGACAAGAUUGGACACCCAAAGGCUACCAGACGACUGGGAAAACAGAAUGUAUAACCUACAGAAAUUGAUACCUAGAUCUUAUACAGCAGUUUUCAUCCAUGGAUCUCCAAGCACUUCCCAACGGAUGAUCAGUAGCGUUAUCCUGAUUUGACAGGUGGGAACAUGGAGGCACCGUGUCUUGCUCAAAGUCACACAGCAGACCCAUGGCAAAUCCAGGAAUAGAACUCCAGUGUCCUGAGUCCCAGACCUGAUGUGUGAGCAUGGUAUCGUGUGAAAAACAACUGUACUGGAGCCAGCUCCUCAGCUGAUGUAAAUUGGGACUGCUUUACUGAAGUCAACUGAGCGAUGCUGACUUGCAUCCUCUGAGGCUCUGGGCCAAUGUUUUCUGUGUAAAUUCCAUAACUUGAGAAAUGAGAGGGAAAAACCGCUAGCUUCCAAACUCAGAGGAAUGAUUGUUACAGCCCAGGAAUCUGAUCAAAUAAAAACGCUAGCAUCGGCAGGAGGACCCGAGAAACUAAUCCUCUUGAUUAUAAGGUUAGAAACGGUUGAUACUGCUGUUGUGGCAGAUCAUAUUGUGUCUAUGAUCCAGUGUAGGGAGCAAGUCUUUGAUAGAGUUCCAAGUGACAGACCUCUUCUCAAAGUAUAAGCUGGAGGGAUCAGAUAAGUGUCGGAACUAGAACCGGACAAAGAAUUUGUGAUCAGCCAGGGAAAAGAAAGGGGAAUAUUAAGGGGGAGAUAUUAAGUUCCACAGUUGCAGAGCGGUGACUUAUUGGCUUAAAUUAUCAAAAGUGACUAGUGUUUUUUGGAUGCGUCAGUUUUUGGUGCCAGACUGAGCCCUUAAAGGGGUUUGAUUUUCUGACAAUGGAGGCCGAGGACUUUCUGAAAACCAGGCCCCUUUGAGGUGUGUCACCCAAAAUCACGAGUCGCUUUUGAAAACGGAGGCUACGUCUCUUUGCCAUUUGACUCCCAUUAAAUUGCACCACCAUGAAAAUGCAGUGUAUACACAGGUAAUGCCAGCUGGUCCUCUAGAGCAGUGGUUCUCAAAGUAGGGCCGCCGCUUGUUCAGGGAAAGCCCCUGGCGGGCUGGGCCGGUUUGUUUACCUGCCGUGUCCACAGGUUCGGCUGAUCACGGCUCCCACUGACCGCAGAUCGCGGUUCCAGGCCAAUGGGGGCUGCAGGAGGUGGCACGAGCCAAGGGACGUGCUGGCUGGACCCAGUAACUUCUGCCUCCUACCACUCCCAGCAAUAACAGUGCUUCUCGUUCCUCUCUGCCCCUUCUUUCACUGCUCCCACUAAAUGCCACUUCUUUGGCUGACAUUUACAUCCAAUCAGUCCAGCAUGUGAUCUCAGCAGGUCUGGCUGUUCCUGGCAAGCCUCACACGUUAUGUUUUCCCCAGGUGUUCCAGAAUGUAUAACAGUCUGCUGCCAGGAGCACACAAGUUUUGAAGAUGCCAACUGAACUAUCAGAGGGUGUUUCAUUAUGGGUCAAAUCCUGUACUCCUUGCAAUCAAUAGGAAAAGUUAUUUUUACUUCAACAGGACCAGGAUUUGGUCUUUAUUGGGACUCCACGAUGGGUUUCAUGGGAUAUCAGAAAGAUCCAGGGACUCUUGGAGGGUUGGGAGGAGCACUUACCUAAACCAAUCAUGUCCUGAUUCAAAUUCACUUCUGUGCUUGGGCGGAGGUUCAGAUUAGUUCCUAGCCUUAAUUUACCCGGCCUUAAUUCAAAGGGUAUCUCCCCAGGGCUUGCCCUGGCCCUGCUCUCUUUCAGCCUGUCAUUAUACAGCUAUAACUGUAAAUUUAUACUCUGUGCCCUAAUGAUUAAACCCAGAUGAGUCAGCAUGACAGAUGGGAAAAUUGCAUUAAGCAAAAUGUAACUGAAUUUGGAUCUGCUUUAUAAUGUGAUAAAUAAAAUCAACGGACGCGCAGGUGGUAA